rnacentral:rRNA from 1 species
AUGAGUAGUGACUGGGAAGAUAUUUUUCCUCAAGUGAACAUUAGAAAGUUGGUUAGAUAUGUCUCAGACCAUAAUGCUCUCCUGCUGUCCUCUAACAAUCAUGUUGUCAGAAUUCCACAGACAAGAGAGUUUAGGUUCGAGCUUAGCUGGCUUAAGACAGAGGAAUUUCUCCCUUUGGUUGAGAAAAUCUGGAACCAAUAUGUAAAAGCCACUGACCCUAUUGAUAUUCUAAAUAUCAAGUUGAAGCGGUUUAAAAAAUUCUUUAAAGGGUGGGGCUCAAAUAAGUUUGGCUAUGAGAGGAUCAGGAAGAUGAGCAUUAGAGAGGAGUUGAGAUGUAUUGAGGAGGAGGAAGAGAAGGGGGAGGUAGACCCCGAUGUUUUCUGCAGGAAAACAGAACUUCUAGUGGAGUUAAAUGAAAUCCUAGUUAAUGAGGAACUGUUUUUGCUACAACAAUCUAAAGAACGAUGGUUGCUUAAAGGAGAUAGUAACACUGCCUAUUAUCAAAAGAUUGCGAAUGGUAACAAGAGGAAAAACACCAUACAUUCACUGAAUGUUGGUGAUGAUGUGGUCGAAGGAACUGAUAAUCUUUUAAAGCAUGCUACUGACUUUUACAAAUCCCUUUUGGACCAGCCCCUGGAAACAUGUUUCAAUUCGAUCCUAAGGUAUGGGGGGAUAAUGAGAGAUUAG